ACUCCCGGAAGCCCCGCCCACCCACCGUAGUCAGACCAGGAGGAAUAGAGGCACUGCGAUGCGUCGGGACUGAAGAGGACGUCGAGGAUGGCCCAGCCCACGUCGCGACCCCGCCAGCAGCGCAGCGCCCGCAGCCCCGACCCCCGGCACGAGUAGACACGCAGCGUCUGGUCUGCAGCACCAAACAACCCAAAUCCCCGCGUUUCAACCCAAAAUUCGGGCUCAGAAGGUGAGAAAACCCAAAGCGUCUGGUCUGCAGCACCAAACAACCCAAAUCCCGACAUUUCAGCCCAAAAUCUGGGCUCACAACGCGAUGAAACCCUGAGGAUCUGAUAUGGGGGGGAAAAGGACCAAAUUUCCUGCAUUUCAGCCCAAAAUCGACCCAUUUCAGCCCAAAAUCUGGGCUCAGAAGGUGAGAAAACCCAAAGCGUCUGGUCUGCAGCACCAAACAACCCAAAUCCCCACGUUUCAACCCAAAAUUUGGGCUCAGAAGGUGAGAAAACCCAAAGCGUCUGGUCUGCAGCACCAGGUAACGAAAUUUCUGGCAUUUCAGCCCAAAAUCGACCCAUUUCAGCCCAAAAUCUGGGCUCCCAAUGCAAGGAAAACAUCAGCAUCUGGUUUGCAGCACCAAACAACCCAAAUCCCCACGUUUCAACCCAAAAUCUGGGCUCAGAAGGUGAGAAAACCCAAAGCGUCUGGUCUGCAGCACCAAACAACCCAAAUCCCCGCGUUUCAACCCAAAAUUUGGGCUCAGAAGAAGGUGAGAAAACCCAAAGCGUCUGGUCUGCAGCACCAAACAACCCAAAUCCCCACGUUUCAACCCAAAAUCUGGGCUCACAACAUGAGAAAACCCAAAGCGUCUGGUCUGCAGCACCAAAGAACCAAAAUCCCCACGUUUCUGCCCAAAAUUCGAGCUCAAAACGCGAGGAAACUCUGAGGAUCUGAUAUGGGGGGAAAAAGAACCAAAUUUCCUGCAUUUCAGCCCAAAAUCGACCCAUUUCAGCCCAAAAUCUGGGCUCACAACACAAGGAAACCAUCAGCAUCUGGUUUGCAGCACCAAAGAACCAAAAUCCCCACGUUUCAACCCAAAAUCUGGGCUCAGAAGGUG
rnacentral:lncRNA from 1 species